GUGCAGACUUCCAGCGAGACUGUGCCUGCAGUGGCUCUGUCUUUCCUAUUAAGUCUGCUACAGAAAUGUGAGGUUGUUUGAGGCCCUGCUGUGGCUCCUCAUGGCAGGGUUAUAGGUAAACCUCCAACAAAC